UUUGAAACACCAGAUCCCGUCUGACUACCGAAGUUAAGCAACGUCGAGCCUGGUCAGUACCCAGGUGGAUGACCGGUUGGCGAUUCCAGGUGUUGCAAG